GGGUAUAGCUCAGUGGCAGAACACGUGCUUAGCAUGCACGAGGCCCUGGGUUCAAUCCUCAGUAAUACCCA
rnacentral:tRNA from 1 species